AUGACCCCAGGUCAGUCGGGAC
rnacentral:rRNA from 3 species